CCCUCCCCCGAGAUGGGCUGGCUGCGGAGCGGCCUGAGGCGGCGGCACCCCCGCUCCCGACCCUGAGGUGUCACCCGCUGAUGCGGCCGAGGGUGUGAUUGAAUGUAAACGGGCGAUCCGGGCGAGGGGCGGCACUGGGGGGACUCGAAGGUAGCGCCGGGCCCGGCAGUCUGCCCGGGGCUGAAACAAGCUCGGACGGUGUGAAAGGGAGUGACCGAGUCAUCUGCCUUUCCUUUUUUUAUUCGGUAGUGCUUUCAUGUGAGAGGUGAUUUUUAACUCCCUCCGCCCCGAAGUUUGCCUGUCCGGUAGCGCUGAAGACCUCUGUUGUGCUUAGUCUGUGAAUAGCUCCUUCAGAAAACAAACAGUUGCACCAUACGUUCUUCCUUUCGCUCCCUGUACUCAGCCUAGGAGAGGUACCCUGAUAGAUGCAGAAGUUUUCAUCUUGUAGGUGUGAUUUCUAACUGACAUGAUGUUGUAAUAAAGUUAUGAGUUACCAGCUCCUGCUUAACCUGCAUACUAUAUAUCUAAUGUUCAAUGUUGCCUAUUAAAAUAAAAUUCUUGAAUUCA